rnacentral:rRNA from 1 species
GACGAACGCUGGCGGCGUGCUUAACACAUGCAAGUCGAACGGAAAGGCCCUGCUUUUGUGGGGUGCUCGAGUGGCGAACGGGUGAGUAACACGUGAGUAACCUGCCCUUGACUUUGGGAUAACUUCAGGAAACUGGGGCUAAUACCGGAUAGGAGCUCCUGCUGCAUGGUGUGGGUUGGAAAGUUUCGGCGGUUGGGGAUGGACUCGCGGCUUAUCAGCUUGUUGGUGGGGUAGUGGCUUACCAAGGCUUUGACGGGUAGCCGGCCUGAGAGGGUGACCGGCCACAUGGGGACUGAGAUACGGCACAGACCCCUACGGGAGGCAGCAGUGGGGAAUAUUGCACAAUGGGCGGAAGCCUGAUGCAGAAACGCCGCGUGGGGGAUGACGGCUUUCGGGUUGUAAACCGCUUUCGCCCGUGACGAAGCGUGAGUGACGGUAAUGGGUAAAGAAGCACCGGCUAACUACGU